rnacentral:rRNA from 1 species
AGUUGGGGGCGUCAGUAUUCUGAAGCGAGAGGUGAAAUUCUUGGACCUUCGGAAGACUAACAACUGCGAAAGCAUUCGCCUAGGAUGUUCUCUUUAAUCAAGAACGAAAGUUGGGGGAUCGAAGACGAUCAGAUACCGUCGUAGUCUCAACUAUAAACUAUGCCAGCUAGGGAUUGGCGGAUGUUUAAUUACGACUCCGUCAGCACCUUAUGAGAAAUCAAAGCAUUUGGGUUCCGGGGGGAGUAUGGUCGCAAGGCUGAAACUUAAAGGAAUUGACGGGAGGGCACCACCAGGAGUGGAGCCUGUGGCUUA